GUACACUCCUACGGGAGGCAGCAAUGGGGAAUAUUGGACAAUGGGCGCAAGCCUGAUCCAGCCAUGCCGCGUGAGUGAUGAAGGCCCUAGGGUUGUAAAGCUCUUUCACCGGUGAAGAUAAUGACGGUAACCGGAGAAGAAGCCCCGGCUAACUUCGUGCCAGCAGCCGCGGUAAUACGAAGGGGGCUAGCGUUGUUCGGAUUUACUGGGCGUAAAGCGCACGUAGGCGGACUAUUAAGUCAGGGGUGAAAUCCCGGAGCUCAACCCCGGAACUGCCUUUGAUACUGGUAGUCUUGAGUUCGAGAGAGGUGAGUGGAAUUCCGAGUGUAGAGGUGAAAUUCGUAGAUAUUCGGAGGAACACCAGUGGCGAAGGCGGCUCACUGGCUCGAUACUGACGCUGAGGUGCGAAAGCGUGGGGAGCAAACAGGAUUAGAUACCCCAGUAGUCCC
rnacentral:rRNA from 1 species